UGCAGUCGACGGACCUUCGGGUUAGUGGCGAACGGGUGAGUAACACGUGGGUGAUCUGCCCUGCACUUUGGGAUAAGCCUGGGAAACUGGGUCUAAUACCGGAUAGGACUACGCACUGCAUGGUGUGUGGUGGAAAGCUUUUGCGGUGUGGGAUGGGCCCGCGGCCUAUCAACUUGUUGGUGGGGUGAUGGCCUACCAAGGCGACGACGGGUAGCCGGCCUGAGAGGGUGACCGGCCACACUGGGACUGAGAUACGGCCCAGACUCCUACGGGAGGCAGCAGUGGGGAAUAUUGCACAAUGGGCGCAAGCCUGAUGCAGCGACGCCGCGUGAGGGAUGACGGCCUUCGGGUUGUAAACCUCUUUCGCCAGGGACGAAGCGCAAGUGACGGUACCUGGAGAAGAAGGACCGGCCAACUACGUGCCAGCAGCCGCGGUAAUACGUAGGGUCCGAGCGUUGUCCGGAAUUACU
rnacentral:rRNA from 1 species